UUUCGCAAUGCCCGAAAGGGUGACGAAGCGACGCCGCGUGGGUGAGGAAGGCCUUCGGGUUGUAAAGCCCUGUCAGGAGUUAUGAAAUGUAAGUGCGCUAAUAUCGUGCUUAUUUGACAAAGGCUCCAAAGGAAGCCACGGCUAACUCUGUGCCAGCAGCCGCGGUAAUACAGAGGUGGCGAGCGUUGUUCGGAAUUAUUGGGCGUAAAGAGCACGUAGGUGGGUUUGCAAGUCAGAUGUGAAAGCCUUCUGUUCAACGGAAGAAUUGCAUCUGAAACUGCUAAUCUUGAGUAUAGGAGGGGAGAAUGGAACUUCUGGUGGAGCGGUGAAAUGCGUAGAUAUCAGAGGGAACGCCGGCGGCGAAAGCGAUUCUCUGGCCUAUUACUGACACUCAGUGUGCGAAAGCUAGGGGAGCAAACGGGAUUAGAUACCCCGGUAGUCCUAGCCGUAAACGAUGGGCACUAAGUAGAGGGGUUUUA
rnacentral:rRNA from 1 species